ensembl:lncRNA
CUCUCGUGUCAUCACUUCCGCCUAGCAACGGAGCGCGGUGCCCCGUUGCUAGGAGACGCCGGGCAGAGUUCAGACCAUGGCGGCAGCGAAGAAACCGGUUCCCCAGGAGCCCCUGAGCUUCGUGCUGCGCGGGCACCGGGCCCCACUCCGGUGAGUGCGAACAGCAAGAGGAGCCGGAGACCGCCCGAGCUGGCAGAAUACUUAGCGCUCACUGAGCCCCCUCCGCCCCACUUCUUCAUUGCCCCGAAGGGGAGAGUGAAACCAGGGUUCUCAGUCACCCAGAGAAUCAGGGUCUGGAGCGCUAGCGACCAGGGAAGCCUUCCCGUAAGAGGCGGACCCAGAGCUGAGCCUGCAUUCACUCGUCCGUUCUCUCAUUCAACAAGCAUUUAUUAAGUGCCUAAGACGUACAGUCGCUGCGCUAGUUUGUAGACUUUGGAAGACGAAAUUGACAUAGUCCCUCAAGGGACUGCAGGGGUUUGUUGUAUUGGGGAGGAUACAAUUAAACAACAAGUGUUUAUCAUCUCCUGUGGGCUAGACUCUGUGCUAAGGAUGCAAGGAAAGGCAAAACCUCCAUUCACAUGGGGAGAUACAUAGAGAAAAGAAAGGAAUUUCUCCGUUAUACUCAGAAAAGCGUCCAUGGCCAACAUCCUAACUCCCAUGAAUUAGUCAAGAGCCAGGCAUCCUUGUGCAAUCUGGAAAACACUUCAUGGAUUCAAGAGGAAGAAAUGGCUGGUUUGUCUCCUCAAAAGGACAGUCCCACGAUUGAGGACCUAGAAGAAAGUUUACAGAAGCUGAAGGUCCACGUGUGCCCACGCUUGGUCCCCAGCUCGAAUCAAGACUCUGACACUGACGAUGGCUCUGGUUCGGAGGCCACUGACCUGUGGAGAUUUACUCAGGCUCAGUGGCCUGAAGUCCAAUGUGGCCCAUCUCCCAUGAAGGAGGGGGAAGCCCUGGCGCAGGCGCCUGUGCCCUUAGCCAGACCGGUGGGAAACGACUCAAGCCUUAGGACCUUAGGCCUUCCAGUGAGGUCCCUGGCUCCCGGCAGGUAUAGAGCAGGCCUCCUGGGAAAUGAGGUGGCCCCCACUAGCUGCCUGCCAUCUGUGGCCUUGCUGAUGAAUGGACCCCCUGCACAGGCCUUCCCCCCGAAACUAGGGGCACCCCAUGUGAUCGGGGUGAAGUCCCUGCUGCCUCCUACGAUCCCAGUGAGGUCCUGCUCUCCCGGCAUACCUCGAGGCAGGUCCCUUUCUCUCACCCGCUCCCAUUCUUUCUCCCCCGCUUCCAAGAGGACUCGAUGGGUCAGGUCUCGGUCACAGUCCCCCAGGCCCAUCUGGAGACCCACCUCAGCCAAAGCCAAUGCUUGUGCACAGCCUCCCCCUCAGCUCAUCCGGCCCGGAGGGAGCAGAAAGAAAAUGACUCUGAACAGACCGUCUCGAUCUCGAACUUGUAAAACGGGGCACUGGGCCACCCGCCGGGCCUGCAUGACCCCUGAACCCAGGGAGGAAGAUGCCCUGGACUACUCCUGGAGCCCUUACUGCCUACCUGUGCCUGGAAUCUCCUCUCCCCUGGUUCAGGAGAUGAACAAAAGGUUCUUCAAGACCCUCACAGAAAGGAAUGUGCAUCAGCCCCUGGGGACCAUGGACCCCAUCCAGAAAACCUUGACACGACUCCGUUUGCAGCGCCUUCGGGCAGAGGAAGAGUGGGUACUAGAGCUGAAGAGGCAGCAAGAACUGGAACGGACCCGAGGUCCCAGGUCCAAGUGGUAUGAGAUGAAAAGCUCCCAGUUCCACUAUGAAGCCCACAAACAUAAUGAGUGGCUGAGGAACAGCCAGGACGCACCGCUCCUCUAUAACUACAGACAAGAACUGGCUUCCAGGGCCGAGGAGUUUGAGGAACGCUCCAAGCCUCCCCAUCUGGAUUCCUUUUUAACGCGGCAGGAUCAUUAGUAACGGGAUUGGAAGGCUAAUGAAGCUCCAGGCUGAAGCCUUAGCAUUCUCCGGGGUUCUCUGGUUUUGUGGAAUAGAGAGCAAGGAGGUCACUGUCUUCCAGUGUGAAGACCCCAAAUCCCAGAGGGGCCUACCUUCAAAAGAGGGACAGGAUGAGACCGCGCUGCGUUCUGAAUGGCCAAAGACUGGAAGGUGCCAUCUUGGAAGAGAGAAAUCCGAAGCCCGAAGGAGACGCAGACUUCUCUCUCUCGUCCCCAUUGCUAAAACCAAGCAGAGAAGGGCUGGCUUCUUCUGGAGAGAUGUUUAUCCAUUCAUUCUCUUGCUUAAAGGGUUUUUAUUAAAUACCUACCAUCGCCAAGCGAGAUACAAAGUUUAGCUAAGACAACUCUUGUUCUCAAUUCAAUCCAGUCAAACGAGUACCAAGUGGGGUUCUCUACAUGACAUGCAGGAAUCUUAUGGUCUUCAAAGGGAUAACAUACACAGAAUAAACCCGAACAUACAAUAUCACGAGAAGAGUGCCCCAGAGAGCUGCCGAGAGCAAUGUGGAUCCAAGGAAGAAGGUUGUUGCCAGCCAGGGCUCAGUGGGGGUGGAAGCUAGGGAUCGGGGAAGUCUUCCUGGACAAAGUAGUGAUGGAUUUGAUCUUUGAAGCGUGAAUAAAUAUUCAGCAAGCAAAGAGGGAGGACAAAGCCCGGGACAGGAGCUGCUAGUAUUGGUGUUGGCCACAUGACAGACAUGAUUAAAUAAAACGUUCUGUUUGAUAGUGUUUGAACGUCCCCAGCACUUCCCAGCUCUUCGGGGUUUAUAAAAGUGUAUGUACUGGGUUGAGUUAACUAACCGGGGAGGAGUCAGGAGCAAACGGACUGCCCUGGUACACGAUUUUCCCCUUAACAUUUAAGAUACCCGAAUUAUAUUUGUUACUUAAAUGUGUGGUUGGGUCACAAGCUAGGCUUUUGAGGUAAGGCCGGGUUUCUAGGUGACGGGAGGGACAAUCAUGUUAGGACCAAUUGGCAGAAUUCCAAAGAAAGUUCCUGUCUUUGAUUAGACAUCAUAAAAUAUACUAGA